GUUUCAGCACCAGGGAAAAAAUUAAUUUCAGUAGCAGAAGCACUAAAGCAGGGUGCUUAGUUAAGCCUAUGGUAGAGACGGUUAUAGAGCAAAUGGCAUAUGAAUGAGCAGGGAGAAGUUGAGCACAGAAGAGAAGAAAAGGAGGAAGUUUAUAGCCCUAUUUCCUAACCUAUUCAAGGGACAGAAUCAAGACUGGGAGAACUAAAACUCUCCUCCACUGUGAUCUACUAGAUGAAGGCUUGUCCAAAAGGAAUACAUCAAAGAGAUGCAGUUUCUAUUUCUGCAUAAGCUCUGAAACAAUGUGUUAACUUUAUCAUCAGUGCUUUCAAGGAUAAACAGAACUCAACCCUUGCACCACUAAUAUCAACCAACCACAUGACUGCUGCCCCUCUCUACCAACCAGCAUUUCUUCCUGAUAAGAGACCACCAACCAGGGAGUUGACUGGCAAGAUGGCCAAAUAGGAACAGGUCUGGCCUGCAGCUUCCAUUGAGAUCAACACAGAAGCCAAGGAAAGUUUCUUGUCUCUCCAUGGAGUUGAGGACAAAUCACUGAGCCACAUCCUGAUAAUUCAGCAGCAUUCUGCUAAAGGCCAACACAGCCCAGAGAAACUCAAUGAAAGGCACAUGAUCAGGCAGUACUGGGGAAAUGAGCCUGGCAACCAUCAUGGAAAUAAAGGCUCCUUAUUUCCAAAAUGUUCAAGAGGGGAAAAAAAGCUGUUGCUCAAAAGUUGGCUUUAGAAAUGUGAAGCAUAAUAGAAAACACUUCUUCCAAUCUACACUGCACAAAAGCCCCCUUCAUCUGGAGGACAAGAUUUAAUUUCCAAUUGUGAAAACCUUCACUUCAACCUCUCCCCACCUAUUUGCAACCUUAUUUCAGUGAAUAGAAGACUAUUAGCAUUAUGGCUGCAUUUAGCCAUGUUUUAACUAAAAUCUUAGCUCAAAAAUGUAAAUGAAUCAUGCCAAAUGUAGCUUAAAGGAAAUACAAUUGUGUAUGGAAGAUGAAAUCUCCCUUUGGAAACUGAAUUUUCACUUCUGUAACUACUACUGUAUAUGCCCUCUGACUGGCAGAAUUAAGAUCUAUCUUAUCUCCAGCUAAUUCCAUCAGUAAAGAAAGAAA